UGCGCAUUCUCGUACGUGGAUAAUGGCAACGUGCGCUGAGUCUUCUCGAGACUUUAUUCGGUCGGUGUUUGGGCCACGUGUUUCUGUCAUUUCCUCGCCCGAUGCAGAGGACCUCUGCCAGAAGAACAAUCUAACAUUUGUUGAGAUGCUGAAGCCGUUCUGCAGACCUACGCAAGAAGUCAUCCAUACUGAACAUGUAAUCUAGUGGUUACGUUACGGCCAACCACCCUGUAGGGGGUUUCACGUCUAGAGAAAGCUGACAGUGUGAUGAAUGUCAUUCUCUUUUACGCAGUAAACCUUGCAUAACUGUCUGUCUCCAGAAUCAGUUUGUGGAGUUGUGUGUGGCAAUGAGCUAGGAGUGUUUGGCUAUCAAAUUUCGACAUUCGAAAUUUGAUAACCAAAGUGUCAUAUUA